GCGUCUUCUCCAGCGGGCGGCGGUGGGCGGGCCCUGCCGGGGCCGCCGGGCCUCGUGUCCACGGACGCGUGCACGCGGGGCCUGUGGGGGGCCCGCGCCCAGCGCGUGCGCGGGAGCCGCGCCUCGCCGCAGCACACGGAGGGUCCAGCGCGCGGCGGGUACCCCGCGACCCUCCCAGCUGCUUGCACUCUGUCUCCGGGCCCGCCGGGACCUCGUGCUGCCCCAAACCCAAGCGGACGAGGGAGGGCCAUGGGGCGCUGGGCCGGGUUGGCAUGGAGAUCUACAUGGGAGUCGCCGAAGAAAGAGCGCUAUCCUUCUGUCUUGCUCCCCACAUGUAACCUGCAGAGGCCUGCGGGGUGCGCGGCUGGGCCAGAGGACCUGGAGGCGGCCGAGGACCCCGAGUACAGGCAAGAAGGUCAUUGGGGACGCAAGUCCAUACGGUUGAGCCGCCCUGGGAGGCCCCAGUGCAGAGAACCUGCCGAGGGCCCAGGACGACCGACAGGCAAGUGCUGCCGCCCCCGUUCUGAACUGCUUCCCGCC